rnacentral:lncRNA from 1 species
UCAGGACAGUGCCCAUGCCUGUAUCACUGUUUGCUUCUCAGUGCCUAGAGCCACCUCUGGCAUAGCUGCUUGGACCCUAGGUGGGUCUCACCUGCUGCAUCAUGGGGAAGGCAGGAGAAGGAGUUUCUGACUGAGGCCUGAAAUCCCAUGGUUUCUGUUUUCUGGUCUGGGAUUGGACAGGGACCAUGUCGAAGGGGAUGGGUGCUAUCCACUGGAAGCCCUCUCCCUCACCUGGGAGGAUGAAGAGUACCUGACCGUCCACUGCUCGUCCAAAGGCCAGCUGUCCUGUGGAAACUGCUUGGAGCUAGACUCGGGGACCUUUCCUUUGCCACAGUUUUGUCCAGAGUCCUGGCCUCUGGAAGGGAGCCUGGAGAGUGAGAGUGAGUGGGAAGAUCUGGAGAAGCCCAAGGAUGCAAUGACAAUGCCCUCAGGUGAACAGAGUCCCAGCCAGUCUCGUGGAACAGGACCUCAGGAUUUCUGAGUGGUGAUCCCUUUGGCGGCAGAGGCCUCAAAUGACUGUGGUACAGAGAAUGUGCCCACCAGCUGUGUCACCAGGAAAGAUGAUGACCUGGGAUGGAGCGACUGGCCCAGGUGUUAAGGGCUAAUUCUAAAGGAGGACACCUGUCAUUCCUGGAACUCAUUUUGGACAGUUCUGGAAUUUCAAUCAAGGAAAGCUCUGUGUGUGUGUGUGUUGGGGUGAGGGUGGGCGCUUCUCCUGGAGAGAGGAGUUGGGAACCAACCUCUUCCAUCAAGGUACCUUGGGCAAGCGCCUGGUGCACACUUCCUGGAUAGAUGCAGCCUUCUGGUUUGCACUGUUUACUUCAUUUCCCCAUUCAUAGAAGGAGUUUAUAUAGUUCUCAAAGUGCCCCAGUUUGCUGGGAAAUACCUGCUAAGGGCUUUUGCCCAAAGCCCAUGGGGAAAGCAUGUUUUGGUAUCUUUCUGCACUCUUCCUAUGCAACCCAAACAGUUAUACAUUCCUUUAAAACAAUUUUUCUUUUGUACUUAACACAUUGUUCUAGUGAUUAUGUGAAGAGAAAAUAAGAUGAGAAUAUUAAGAAGAAUGAAGUAGUAGAUCCAGCUUGAUCAGAUCUUAAGACAGAUCACCACCAUCAUGAUAAAAAUUAAACCACAUGAAUGUGCAAAUGCACAAAAGAAAUAGACCUGGAAAAUCCUUGGCACCAUGUGACAGGGGACAUAUGGCAGAGGGAAGAUCUCACAGGUACAACUAGGGGAGGGAGGGAGCAAGAGAAAGAGGGAGAGAGACAGAGAGACAGAGAGAGAGAGUGACAGCGAGAGACAGAGACAGAGAGACAGAGGAGACAAAGACAGAGACAGAGAGACAGAGAAACACACACACACAGAAGGAGACACCGAGGAAAGGAGACACCAACAGAGAAACCAGAUAGAAACAAAGUUUAAAAAAUCCUCUGCUCUAAAAUCUAAUUUAUGAACUACUUCUUUAUGUGCUUUCAUUUCUAAUCUUCCUGUCCUCUUCAUGAUAGAAUAGUCUUGUAGGUUAUGACUUUUUCUAUUGUAAAUGAAAAGGGAAUUUCCUGGGAAGUGAAUAGUCUUGUUUCAGAUUCUCUCAAGCUUCAGUGCCUCACAAUUAGAGAAUU